CAAAAACGAAGAUCUGAACGCGGA
rnacentral:piRNA from 1 species